UCCUUGUGGUUCACUCCCAUCAUUCCCGUGUUACAGCUCCAUACCUUUCCUCGCAACAUCAAAUUCUCUACGUCAUGUUUCAACGGCUUAUCGGUCACCUCGUCAUUCGCACUCGCACUCUCAAUCAGCUCGCCCGAGUCACGCCCUUCAUUCAUCGCCAUAAAUCUCUCCUCGCAGCACCAUUUUCUUGUUCCCAAACUCUAUCUUCCCUCCAAUUCUCCACCGACACCUCCGCCGUCACCCACCACCCGGUCAGGCUCCCGGAAGAUCUAUCCAAAAACCUGAUUGUCCUCUCGUGCGAGUCUUCAGCCGAAGGCGGCGUCUGCCACGUUUACUUGGUCGGAGUCUCUCAUGGCUCCAAGGAAUCAUACAGACGAGUUCAGGCUACAGUGAAAUUUCUGAAACCGGAGGCUGUCUUCCUAGAGUUGUGCCAGAGUCGUGCUUCAUAUCUUACCCGUAAAAAUUAUAAGAUACACGUACCCACUCAGAAAGAAAUGGUUACAAGAUUGAGGAAAAAAGAGAACAUUUUUUCAGUAUUUAUUGGUUGGUUCCAAGCCAAGACAGCAGAUGAUCCUCAUGAAGAUGAGUUUCGUGUGGCAUAUGAAGAAGCCAUCAAAUAUGGAGGCAAAGUGAUAUUUGGUGAUCGCCCUGGUAAGAUUACAUUAAGGAGAUUUUGGAGUAAGACCCCACUUUGGCAUAAAACAAUAUAGUUACUCUUUUUCCUUCUCACGGCAGUUAUUUUUAUUUUACGCGGCUCUGAUUUUUUUAAAAAUGAGCAGAAGGAAACGGAUGACAGUGGCAUGAAUAAGCUGAAGGAAACGGAUGACAGUGGCAUGAAUAUGUCGUGUCCGACUUUCAUGGAGGUUGUUGUGCAUGAACGAGAUCUGUACAUGUCCUCCACAUUAUUAAAAGUGGCGAGUGAAAAUAGGUCAGUUGUUGCUGUUGUUGGAAAGGGUCAUUUACAGGGAAUAAAGAAGCAUUGGAAGCAACCUGUCGUGGUGAAGGAUCUCAUGACAGUCCCUGAACCAGCUGUAUCUGCAAUAAGAAUCGUGAGAUACGUUGUUGUUGUCUUGGCUGCGGUGGCCAUUAUAUCAGGAUGUGAAAUAACUAUAAGAGAUGAUGGGGUGGUCAUUAUUUCAACGAAGAAAUAACUCUUAUAAGAGAUGCUGUCAUCCACCACAAGGUUGACGUAGGAAUUGAAACAUGUAGCAGUUGAGUCAACCAUCAACGAAGUUGAUGCAGAAGUUAUUUAUCCCUUUUUCGUAUCAAGAAUAACAAUUCUUUUUGAAUCUUUACAUAGAAUUCAUGUUAUACAACGGUAAUAAAUACUCAGUCACUUA